ACAUCGUGCGAAGAAUAGCUAUAUUUUUCAGUCUUUCUCUUUAAUCGAGUAAUUCAGAAAUUAACAAAAGGUAUAAAUCAAAUAGUCAGUUUUACUCGAUUAUUCACAAAACUACAAGGGAAAUCGAAAAAUAAUCCACUCGGUGCACCGACACGGUCAAAAAUGUACACGGGAAUAGGUCAGUUACAUUAGUACCCCUAACUAUGAAUUUCGUUAACAGAUUUGUACCAACAAUUGGAACAAAAUCGGAACAAAAUGACUCGUAGAAAAGUUGUUCACAGAAAAAGAAAAUGUAUAUUGUCAUAAUGAUAACAUUUUUUAGGGUGCUACCAUCCCCAACUUUCAUCGUUUAUAUUUAAUACAUAAAAAUGCAUUAUUAUUUUUUUUUAGGACUAUAAAUUGACGCAUUGAGUGAAUCAAAUUUAAGGUGAUCAUUUUAAUUUCGAUUUAGAAAAUAUGUAUUUAUUGAAUGAUUGUAGUUUUUAGUAAAAGUUUGUAUAGUUGAAAAUAUCAUUUAAAAUGU